rnacentral:rRNA from 1 species
CCAAUAGCGUAUAUUAAAGUUGCUGCAGUUAAAAAGCUCGUAGUUGAAUUUCGGGACCAUCAUGUCGGUCGUGCCUCGGUACGUACUGGCAUUGUUGGUUUCUCCCUUCUGACGAACCAUGAUGUAAUUAAUUUGGUGUCUGGGGGAAUCAGGACUGUUACUUUGAAAAAAUUAGAGUGUUUAAAGCAGGCUCACGCUUGAAUACAUUAGCAUGGAAUAAUGAAAUAGGACGUUUGAUUCUAUUUUGUUGGUUUCUAGGAUCGACGUAAUGAUUAAUAGGGAUAGUUGGGGGCAUUAGUAUUCAAUUGUCAGAGGUGAAAUUCUUGGAUUUAUUGAAGACUAACUACUGCGAAAGCAUUUGCCAAGGAUGUUUUCAUUAAUCAAGAACGAAAGUUAGGGGAUCGAAGACGAUCAGAUACCGUCGUAGUCUUAACCAUAAACUAUGCCGACUAGGGAUCGGAUGAUGUUAAUUUUUUUAAUGACUCAUUCGGCGCCUUACG